CUCCUCUUUCGCCUUCUGCCAUGACUAUAAGCAUCCUGAGGCCUCCCCAGAAUCUGAGCAGACGUCGACACCAUGUUCAAUCGUGUCCUCUACAACCUGCAGAACUCUUUUGAAGAAACCCAAACUGGACAGACAGUUACUGAAUUUUUGUAAUGUCCGAGGCUUCCAGGAGGAGUGACACAUAUCUCUGCUGGAUGAGCUCACAGUUCCAAUGAGAAGAUACAAGCUGAAAGAUUGCAGCAGAACUGGGAAGUGAAAGCACGGAGAGGCUGUGGGACAUGGAGGAGGGGCGGUAAGAUUGAGAAAGAGGUAACAGUUGGGGUGACUUUGGACCUGAGACCUGGGCAGGCAUAAGAAGUCUCACUCUCUAUUCCAUUCUUGGCAGGGGAUGUUUCUUUGUACCAGGUAGCUUUGCGCUUGUUUUGUUCCAUAAAAGUAAAUCUCUGUUCACUAAGGAAUUAUGGUAGUGAAUGGUGACUCUCCGGAAUUAUAGGGCUAAUUCCAAAAUAAUCUUAGUUUUAUUCCCCCACAUUGUAAUAUUAACACUUGGGAAUUUUGUUUAUCGCGAUGUUUAAUAAUUUGGCCAGCAGAGGGCACUGCAUACUGACAGUCUCUCCACACCAGUCGCUCAAAUCCUCAAGAGUUCCCGAAGUGUUAGGCUUAACUCAGGGGUGUUUGCAAGUGCUUUGCUCUUCUGUUUCAGACAUAAACAUAUGUCAGAAAUUAAAAGAGGGUUGUGAAGCAGGAAAUUAGAUUAACAGUAGCAUAUAAUUUCCCUCUAUUUGUUAAUAAAGAGAAAAAAUAUUGGUAUGUACACCCAUGUCUACAGGGUUUUAAAUGUAGCUGUAUUAAUUAAUGUAUUAAUAAUAUGAUAACACUACUUCUUGCAUAAAUCAACAUAACUUCUAAAUUCUCUUUGAAAAUAUUUUUGGUUUUAUAUUGUGGUUUAAUUCUCAAUCAUAAACUAAAAAGUAAAAAAACCUGAUGCCUAAUGUUAUACUUUCUUUCAAACCUUAAGAUAGAUAUUAUUGUUUGAAUAGUAUCAAAAUAUUGUGGUUCUGCACAAAUGCUUUUUAUAACUUCUUACGAUGAUAUUUUAAUUUCUAUUUCCACAUAUGGAUAUGAGUAUUCGAAAACAUUUGACGCACAAUUUUCUUCUCUUCAUCUCCCCAUUAUAAAAAUGUAAAGGUGUGUUUUAAAACCCGUUUGCUCUUGGUUAAACUUGACAAUGUGGAGACCCCUUUGUUAGCUGGUCCUAUGAGUUAAUGCACAGCCUUUGUGUUUUUCAUUUAAGG
rnacentral:lncRNA from 1 species